GCCGAAAGUGGUGAUGUAUUCCUGUAAUCCAACUACUCGGAGGGUAGGUAUAGAGGGUGUUUUAAGGGUGGGAAUUUUGGGAUUGAAUUUCUCACGGUGACUAAACGUCCGCUAGGGGUAAAUCUUCAACUCGGAUGCUUUGGGGGGAAGCCCGAGGUUGCUGGUUGAGUACAAAAAGGCAAAAAAUCGAACCGAAAAUCAACCGAGUCGAGAAUCGUGGGUUCAAAUCCUGGGAAUGGGAGUUUAAUUUCAGCACGUCCAGGAGGAACGAACCUCUACCUUC
rnacentral:SRP_RNA from 1 species